rfam:Enterococcus pallens ATCC BAA-351 genomic scaffold acvKb-supercont1.6, whole genome shotgun sequence.
GAACGCCGUAUGAGGUGAAAGUCUCACGUACGGUGUGGAGCGGGGGAAAGCCCAAAAGAUAAUCCUCUAAUGGACACUUAGUAGGCUACCUAUCGCAAU